rnacentral:lncRNA from 1 species
UUCAAAGGGACAAAACAAAGUGAAGAGAACCUAAAACCACCCAGCUUUUAAGAGGCUCGAGUUUGGUUCUCGCCGCCACUGCCCGGCGGCAAAGUUAUACCGCCCGGCGGUGAGUGGAAAUUUCCUUAUCACUUUUCUUGCUUGCCUUUCUGCGAUUUCUCCCGGUAACUCCUGAUCUUUGCCCUAAAUUUUUCAAUUUCAAGAUUUUCCUCACUCAAAUGCACAUGCACACCUAAAAUGUAUUAAGAUAGAAUUUGGAAAACAAAUAACAAACACAGAAAUUCAAAUUGCUUUACAACAAUUGGGAUAGCCCCUAUAAACACCCAUCAAUAGGUGUUACAUUUCUUCUUGCUUGGUAUUUUCUUCUUCUUCUUCUUUAUGCUAAAUCUCUUCAAAAAGUUGAUCGAACCAAGCACAUGUUUCCAAGCAUUAAUCAUAGGAGCCUUAAUCUCCAAUUUCUUGAAGAUCUCCAUGAAGUACUUGAACCUAUUUUCCUUCCCAUGAUUUUUCUUUUUAUGAGGAAGGGGUUUUUCAUAUGACUUUGUCUUCUUUCCUCACUUCCUCUUUUUCUUAAUUUUCUCCUCCCUUAGCUUUCUAUUUUUAUUUUUCUUUUCUUUCUUUAUUUUCACAGUUUUUCACUUUUUUUCUUUUCUUUCAAUGAAUGUUUUUCCUUUCUUAUCAUCCUUCUUACUCUCACUCAACUUUUGUGUUUCUAUCUCCUCUAUCUUUUCCGCAACAACAACUUUUACUGUUUUUAUUCCCCUUUUCAUUUCUUCUUUUAUUUUCUCCUCAUAUAUCUCUAUCUCUUCUUCUUCUAUCUUUUCCUCCUCGAAAACAUUAUCAUUUUUAGAGAUAGUGGCUUGAUAUUCUUCUUUAGGGUUAACUUUAGUAUUAUCCCUAAUAAUUCCCAAAGACUUCAAUACCUUUGUUAUCUCAUCUUCCUUUAUCUUCUCUUCAUCAAUAACCUUGUCAACCUCAAAGAUAGUGGCUUGACAUUCUUCUUUAGGGUUAACUUCUGUAUUAACCCUAAUAAUACCUAGAGACUUCAACGCACAAGAGUGUUGUUCCUGCAAUAAACGUUCUUUAGGUUCCCCCAACGUUUCUUUUCGUGAAGAGGAAUGAUGCCC